CCCUACAGGGGCAAGGCACAGGCCUGCUCUUUUUAGGCCUUCCAUUUUUAGGCCUGCCAUUUCCUACCAAACAGUGCAUCAGCGACCCCAGACCACACAAGGCCAGGAAAGCUUGGAUUUGGAGGGACAUCAAGAGCCAGCAUGUAAACCACAGGGGGAUCUCCGCUCUGUGUCUCAGAAGGCAGAGACGAACACCAGGGCGAGCUGUGGGGAGAGGCAGGGCUCUGCGCUGGGCCAGCCUGUAUGUGCCUCUGGUUUCUGCCUGUUCAGGGGAAGGGUGCCUAGUUACAGCAUUAUGCUUCAAAUAUUUCAGGAGAAAAAAAAAAAAAGAAAAAGAAAAAAAAAUAACCCAAAUAGUUUUCAAGCCUCUUGCUUCAGCAGAACGUUCCCCACGAGGCUGCUGUUACUAAGAUCUGUUGGUAACUGGGACUGAUACCAACAUCGUACCCAGCUGGCAGAGAAUGAAAGGUCAGCAGUUGAACAAAUCGAGGAGAUUUGCAGCCAAGAAGGCUGGGAGGUCUGCAUUUGAAACAGGAAAAUGAACUGGUCGCACUAGUGCUUGCUGAGUGUCUUCAGUAAAGCCAAAACUUUAUGGAAAAGGCCUGAAGAUCAAUCUCUGUUCUUAUUAUUCUUCCCUACAGCAGCACCAUUCCUGUAAGAGGGCAUGGGGUUAUCUGUUGGUUGCUGUUUGUUUAGUCAGUGCUGUAUGAGGACCUAGCAGCUCCCACCUGGAAGCACAACAAAGCCACCCGUUACUUUGUCCAACCGUGCUGCUGCUUCACUUCCAUAAGAUCUUCCAUAAGAUCCAUAAGAUCUUCUAAGAGCAGUGAUCUAUUUCUUGCAAGUUCUGAUGAAAUGUAUUCACUGAAGUUAAAAACUGAAGUACCAGAGUUUCAGAACAACGUGUUAAUAUCCCAUUGCAGUAAGUGUUGUUUGUUUUGUGUUUGUUUGCUUUUUCAUGAACAUUUCUGAAGGAACAGUGUCUUUUGAUUACCUAAUCCUCUGAAACGAAACAUGUAGUCACCCUGAGCUGGCCGGGUUGAGCUGUGAUGGACAGGGAGAAACAGGCAAAAAGGAGGCCAAGGGAAAGAUCCCCACAUGAGUAACUGUGUUAGUACUGUGCAACUUGGUGCAAGUCCUAAUAAAAUAUAAUCAAAGACAGCUUUAUAGAGGUGAAGUAAUAUCAGUGUACAACACGUAGUAUACGAAGUCACCAGGUGUUUUAAUGGUAACAGGCCACAACCUCUCCUGACAUUGCUUCCAGGAAUGAUACUUAUAAAUUGGCCCUGUUCUGUCUCCAGGAAGAGGUGAGAAGGGAAGACAUGCUGGGAUGUGCCUGCUACCUCUGCUGCUUUGCAGAAGGGAGAGCAGAAAGGCAACAGACACUGCAGCGGUUCUGCUUCCCUUCUGCAACAAAACCCAGCCAUUUCUAGCAUUUCAACUCUGCUUUUUGGAGCAAUAAUUUAAAAGCUCAUCAUUUUUUCUACUAAUUUUAAAAUAUUGCUUCACCAAAACAGUAGUCUCCAUUCAUCAGUCCCUGUUUGCACAAGUGUCUCUGGACUCUUUCAGUGUGUUUAUUUUCUUCCCAAACAGAAUAUAAUUCUGUUUUCAUCAUUAAUUAUACAGUCCCGUGUUUUGUUUUCCUUUUUCUGGCCUGCAUAAAGUUUUCCACAUUUUUUGCUGUCUUCCUG
rnacentral:lncRNA from 1 species